rnacentral:rRNA from 1 species
AUUGAACGCUGGCGGCAUGCCUUACACAUGCAAGUCGAACGGUAACGGGCCUUCGGGCGCCGACGAGUGGCGAACGGGUGAGUAAUGCAUCGGAGCGUACCUUUCAGUGGGGGAUAACGUAGCGAAAGUUACGCUAAUACCGCAUAUUCUGUGAGCGGGAAAGCAGGGGAUCGCAAGACCUUGCGCUGAUUGAGCGGCUGAUGUCAGAUUAGCUAGUUGGUGAGGUAAAGGCUCACCAAGGCGACGAGCUGUAGCGGGUCUGAGAGGAUGAUCCGCCACACUGGAACUGAGACACGGUCCAGACUCCUACGGGAGGCAGAAGGGGGGAAUUUUGGACAAUGGGGGCAACCCUGAUCCAGCCAUGCCGCGUGAGUGAAGAAGGCCUUCGGGUUGUAAAGCUCUUUCGGCCGGGAAGAAAUCGUAUGGGCUAAUACCCUGUGCGGAUGACGGUACCGGCAUAAGAAGCACCGGCUAACUACGUGCCAGCCGCCGCCGUAACAC